AAUAGAUACCCUGGUAGUCCACGCCGUAAACGUUGGGCGGCUAGAUGUGGGGGACCUUUCCACGGUUUCCCGUGUCGUAGCUAACGCAUUAAAGCGCCCCGCCUGGGGGAGUACGGGCCGCAAGGCUAAAACUCAAAGGAAAUUGACGGGGGGCCCGCACGAAGCGGCGGAGCAUGCGGAUUAAUUCGAUGCAACGCGAAGAACCUUACCAAGGCUUGACAUACACGAGAACGGGCCAGAAAUGGUCAACUCUUUGGACACUCGUGAACAGGUGGUGCAUGGUUGUCGUCAGCUCGUGUCGUGAGAUGUUGGGUUAAGUCCCGCAACGAGCGCAACCCUCGUCGCAUGUUGCCAGCACGUUAUGGUGGGGACUCAUGUGAGACUGCCGGGGUCAACUCGGAGGAAGGUGGGGAUGACGUCAAAUCAUCAUGCCCCUUAUGUCUUGGGCUUCACGCAUGCUACAAUGGCCGGUACAAGGGCUGCGAUGUCGUAAGGCGGAGCGAAUCCCAAAAAGCCGGUCUCAGUUCGGAUUGAGGUCUGCUAACCG
rnacentral:rRNA from 1 species